UGGGGAAUUUUGGACAAUGGGCGAAAGCCUGAUCCAGCAAUGCCGCGUGUGUGAAGAAGGCCUUCGGGUUGUAAAGCACUUUUGUCCGGAAAGAAAUCCUUGGCUCUAAUACAGUCGGGGGAUGACGGUACCGGAAGAAUAAGCACCGGCUAACUACGUGCCAGCAGCCGCGGUAAUACGUAGGGUGCAAGCGUUAAUCGGAAUUACUGGGCGUAAAGCGUGCGCAGGCGGUUUGCUAAGACCGAUGUGAAAUCCCCGGGCUCAACCUGGGAACUGCAUUGGUGACUGGCAGGCUAGAGUAUGGCAGAGGGGGGUAGAAUUCCACGUGUAGCAGUGAAAUGCGUAGAGAUGUGGAGGAAUACCGAUGGCGAAGGCAGCCCCCUGGGCCAAUACUGACGCUCAUGCACGAAAGCGUGGGGAGCAAACAGGAUUCAGAUACCCUGGUAGUCCAGCGCCCUAAACGAUGUCAACUAGUUGUUGGGGACUUCAUUUCCUUAGUAACGUAGCUAACGCGUGAAGUUGACCGCCUGGGGAGUACGGUCGCAAGAUUAAAACUCAAAGGAAUUGACGGGG
rnacentral:rRNA from 1 species